UACGUAGGGGGCUAGCGUUGUCCGGAAUCAUUGGGCGUAAAGCGCGUGUAGGCGGUCCGGUAAGUCCGCUGUGAAAGUCGAGGGCUCAACCCUCGAAUGCCGGUGGAUACUGUCGGGCUUGAGUACGGGAGAGGCGAGUGGAAUUCCUGGUGUAGCGGUGAAAUGCGCAGAUAUCAGGAGGAACACCGAUUGCGAAGGCAGCUCGCUGGAACGUUACUGACGCUGAGACGCGAAAGCAUGGGGAGCGAACAGG
rnacentral:rRNA from 1 species